rnacentral:tRNA from 1 species
UCUCCAGUGGCGCAGUUGGUUAGCGCAUGGUACUUAAAAUGCCGAGGUCGCGAGUUCGAGCCUCGCCUAGAGAA